rnacentral:lncRNA from 1 species
GACACCACGUGCUCUCGGGCUGGCCAAUGACCAGGCCGCCCGGGAUGAGCUAAUAAUGGAAGCAAUUUGUAACUUUCAGUAGCUCUCUAGGCCUAGGUACCAAUGGGAGGGAGACUGGUGGAGGGGGAAACAACACCCCAGUUUUUCAGCCCAGCCAGUUUGUCUAAGGGCAUUCGGACGCCCUGGCCCUCCUUUUCCCUAACAAGCAAUCUCGAGAAGUGUUCUUCGCCCACUCCUGACCGACAGUCAGAAAAGAUGAUACGCAAAAUGACUACAUACUGAAACCAUAGUAGAGCCACGAGACUUCUUUUGGCUGUUGUUUUGAGACAGGGUCUCAUGAGUCCCAUUCUGGCCUGAAACUUGCUGUGUAGCCAAGGAUGAUCUUGAACUUCUGGUUCUCCUGACUCUGCCUCUCAAGUGCUGGGCUUAUAGGUAGGUGGGAGCCACCACAUCUGUCUAUAGAAACAC